CUGCGAGUUCGCGGGAGAGUAAGUUAUUGCCAGGGUUUUUAUUUUAUACUUUAAACCUUAAAUUUAUUUUUUAAAUGUUUAUAUUAUUUGAAUGUUUUAUUCAAAUAAUAUAAAAAAUAAUAUAUAUAUUGACAUGGAUUAAACAAAGAUAUAUAUUAUUUUAUGUUGUAUAAACAAAUUGGCAAAAUAGAGAUGGAAGAUAAAAAUAUGGUCAAAGUAAUAAGAGUCUAUGGUGGAUGCCUAGGA
rnacentral:misc_RNA from 1 species